rnacentral:rRNA from 1 species
UAUUGCACCAGAAGUAGGUAGCCUAACGAAAGAGGGCGCUUACCACGGUGUGGUCGAUGACUGGGGUGAAGUCGUAACAAGGUAGCCGUAGGGGAACCUGCGGCUGGAUCACCUCCUUAA